rnacentral:rRNA from 1 species
GAUGAACGCUGGCGGCGUGCCUAAUACAUGCAAGUCGAGCGAACAGACGAGGAGCUUGCUCCUCUGACGUUAGCGGCGGACGGGUGAGUAACACGUGGAUAACCUACCUAUAAGACUGGGCUAACUUCGGGAAACCGGAGCUAAUACCGGAUAAUAUAUUGAACUGCAUGGUUCAAUAGUGAAAGUCGGUUUUUCUGUCACUUAUAGAUGGCUCCGCGCCGCAUUAGCUAGUUGGUAAGGGAAAGGCUUACCAAGGCAACGAUGCGUAGCCGACCUGAGAGGGUGAUCGGCCACACUGGAACUGAGACACGGUCCAGACUCCUACGGGAGGCAGCAGUAGGGAAUCUUCCGCAAAGGGCGAAAGCCUGACGGAGCAACGCCGCGUGAGUGAUGAAGGUCUUCGGAUCGUAAAACUCUGUUAUUAGGGAAGAACAAAUGUGUAAGUAACUAUGCACGUCUUGACGGUACCUAAUCAGAAAGCCACGGCUAACUACGUG